CGGGCUGUGGCGCAGUUUGGUCAGCGCGCUUGACUGGGGGUCAAGAGGUCCCGGGUUCAAGUCCCGGCAGCCCGACCG
rnacentral:tRNA from 1 species